rnacentral:rRNA from 1 species
UACGAAGGGGGCUAGCGUUGCUCGGAAUCACUGGGCGUAAAGCGCGCGUAGGCGGACAUUUAAGUCAGGGGUGAAAUGCCGGGGCUCAACCUCGGAACUGCCUUUGAUACUGGAUGGCUUGAGUUCGGGAGAGGGAUGCGGAAUUCCAGGUGUAGCGGUGAAAUGCGUAGAUAUCUGGAGGAACACCGGUGGCGAAGGCGGCAUCCUGGACCGGUAUUGACGCUGAGGCGCGAAAGCUAGGGGAGCAAACGGG